GUUUUGCGGUGAAUAGCCUUAAUUCGCCUGAUUUUAGACGGCCUUGUACACAACAAAAGAUUUUGCUUGGACUUACUUGUAGAAACCAUUCUUUUCGCGCAUCUAAACUGGGGCUACAGUAACUCUCCCCUUCCAGCCCCAGAGAAGGGAAAUCUUGGAACUCCAUUCCUAGGAAGUCCAGCAAUCGUGCUUCAAAUGCAGAAGACCAAUUAAUGAUUCCUUAUUACGGUGAGAGUGAUAUUUAAGGCAUCACCCCAGGUAUCGCUUGGAAAGGGCAACGAAGCAGUCAUUGGUGAGAGGCAGCGAACCAGUCAUUUCUUAAGAAAGAACGCCUUCCUUUAGAGGUUGGAGGGGACGGGAAGAGAAAUGGCCAACCAGUUUGAUCAGCGGCAGAAGGCGUUUAUAGAGCUGGUGACACAGACGAUGAAAAUUCCUCUUUAUUGUGCAAAGGAUAUCAUGGGUGUGGCAAAAGCAAACAUUGCAUAGAUACGUAGUAUCAGUGGUGCUAUACUUACUGUCCAGGAAAGCAGGGGGACGUCAGAUGAGAUAACUGUUGAGACUAAAGGUAGUGCUUCCUAGGUUCAGACAGCCCAGACUCUGAUUCAAGAAAAAGGCAGCGAAGGGAAAAGCCACUUGUGUUAAAAGGAUCAAAUGUAGAGGUUUGGAGGCAAGUAGAAAUUUUUAGUUUUGUUACAGCAACAUCAAUGGUCAUGUAAGUUGCUAGAUCUCCACCUUCUUGUUGGCCAAGGGAACUGUUUCAAGGACAAAGAACUACCAAAGAUAGCAAAGAAAAUUUGACUUCAUUGUCUUUUAAUUUC